GGGCUGAGUACGGUUUUAACGGGGCGGUACCAACUUUGGGAAAUUCUGCUCUGGGCGGAUCUACGUCCUCGUUGACUGGAGAAACGUCCAAUCAAUAGCGCUUUGGCUGUCGUCAGGGGCUAUAUAUUUUGCGUGUUUCCGCUAAAGAGUUCUCUUUCUCUGCAACGAUGCUGCUUGAGCCUGAAGACAGCCAGUUGAUUCUUUCAUCUACAAAAAUGCCUCAAGAUGCUUGUGAAGUUCAUUAGAUUGCUGUAUCCAGUGCCAGUUCUGCAUUUGUUGAAAAAGAUGCAAGUUUAAGGUUAUGAUGUCAUCAAAGAUUGGCCACCUUUGAUGGCAACAGAUUGAUGUGGAGCUACACAAGCUAUGGUGCUGGCUCCUACCAGAGAGCUGGCCCAACAGUUAUGUGACUUGUGCAUACGUUCAGAGCUGAAUUGUCAGGAUUUGUAUUCUACAUGGCAGCUGAUGGGGAGGACAAAAACUCAUUUACCAAGUAUCAAGAUGUUUGGGAUGGAUGAGGCUGUGGUUUCAAGGACCAAGAUCACUCAAAAGUUGGCAACAGACGCUCAGGUGAUUUUUGUCUGUUACAAUGCCUCCGGAAUCUUCAGUGGAUCCUGUUCAUGUCGCUUUCAAGCAAUAAGCAUGAACCCUUAAUAAACCGGAAUAUGCAUCUGCUUGAUUCCUAAAGAGUGGAAAAUGGGCACUGACCAAUCCGGCUGUGAUAUUCAUCUUCACUUGCUGUGUGGUGUACUGGUUGACUGAGACUGCUAUGGUGACCUGUAGGUAGUGUGUCAAGAGCAUUUCAUCGGUUUUCUUUGUGUAUGAAUAUUUUCUAAGCACCUUUGUAUUGUGCAUUGAUGUAAACUUCAUGUGUAAAUAAAGUAAUACUCUGCUAUUACA